UCCUUGUUAAACCUCAGUUACUGACGUAACGUUUUUAUUCAUACAGACAAAUUAAGUCAAAUGAAACGUUGUUGUUUUAAAAGAACAACAUUUUUUUGUUUGGGCGCUAAUAUACAAAGAUUUUGGUAACAAGUGGACUCGUAUACUAUGUGUGCUCUUUUCCCUCGGCUCAAACGUGACGUUAUAUAAAGAGCACACGUGACCCUGCGUGAAAGGAACGUUUGACAGCAGUUGGAACAGCUGACGGACGGACUGAGGGCGGUCACCACAGAAACGCUUUUCGGAUCAAAAUAACUGCGCUGUUUCCACUACGACCGUACACGUCUGGAAAGACCAUGGCAUCAGCAAAAUGCUCAAGAUAUUCCAUGUACUGGGAGGAGACCGAGUGCCUGAGCUACUAUGAGAUGCUGUCCCUCCAUGAGAUCUUUGAAAUCGUGGGCUCCCAGCUCACAGAGACUGAUGUUGAGGUUUUGUCCUUUCUCCUCGAUGAAGCUUAUCCUGGAAAACAUCCCCUUGAUCCAGAGGGAUGGACUGAUGAGUUACCUCCAGGGCCCGAUGGGUCUUCACAGGUUAAUUCUCCAUGUCCUCGGCUUCUGAAAACAUGGCGAAGAAUACAGCCGCGGAAUGAGCCGUGCCCCAUCGCAGGUCGCCACCGACCCAAGAGUGGCGUUGAACUGCUGUUGGAGUUGGAGAGGCGAGGAUACUUGAGUGAAGGAAACCUCAAACCUUUAUUGCAGUUGCUGCGAAUUCUGACACGACAUGAUGUCCUGCCUUUUGUCUCACAAAAGAAGAGAAGAACAGUGUCUCCAGAGCGAGAGAAGACAGAAUACCAAGAGGUGGAUACCAGAGGCGAGAUGCAAUUUAGCUCAAGCGCAGAUAUACCAUCCUGGGAAAACACACAAGACCACCAGUGGAGAGCAGGAACGGGCUCUCCGGUGACGACAACCACUGCUGUCCGACGAAAGCGAGGUAGAGGUCACCACUGGAGCAGGAAAACCAGGGGCAAGCCUGAAAUCCAGCCUCAAACCACACCCAACAAAGUGACCUGCGAUGUCCGGCUACGUGUGCGUGCGGAGUAUUCAGAGCACGAGUCGGCUCUACGUGGAGGAGUUUCAUCAGACAAGCAGCAGCCGUUGGAGAGGCAAUUUGAGCUGUUCAGCCGAGCGAGCAUGCUGCUCCGUACCCGGGAUCUGGGCUCUAUUGUUUGUGAUAUCAAGUUCUCGGAACUCGCCAACCUGGAUGCCUUCUGGGCAGACUAUCUGAGCGGGGCGCUGCUCGAGGCACUGAAAGGAGUCUUCAUCACGGACUCUUUGAAAAGGGCAGCGGGGCAGGAGGGCGUCCGGCUGCUUGUCAGUGUGGAUCAGGAUGACUAUGAAGAGGGCAGGAAACUGUUGAUUAGAAGCCAGACACAUAAUGGGACAAACUGAGGAACACAAAGUUUGGGGCGUUAGAAAACAAUUUUCUCAUUUUCCCUUUUCUACCACGCCCUGAGAAAUGUCUGUUUCACUCGGGACCUUCAGCUAUGAUGAAUGUUUUGCCUUUUUAUUUCAUUGCCCAUUGAGUGCUGGUGACCCUGGGCUGGAGAGCCUGUUGGAAGAGUCUAGAUCAAACUGGGCAGCUGUUUUGUUGGACACUGACUGAUUCUGAAGGAAAAAUGUUUCUUUGACUGUUCAGAGGUUAGGUACAAAUAUAGGGCUGUCUGUAGCUCUCUACUGAAGGUCAGUUUAAACAUGAACAAACAAACACCUAUAGAAAACAAAAGAGGGAGGAUCUGCAUCUGUACCACUUAGUCUGCCACAGGUGGUAUGUGGAUCGAAUGUUUUUUUCCAAAUGUGAUGACAUACAUUGAACCAUUGAAUUCAAGUUAUGUGUUUAACUUAAUUUGGCAAAUUUAAAAUACCCUCUUUGAUGAAAAAUAGGAAUGAUGGGAAUACACAACAAAUAUGUAACCCAAAAGGGAUGUGCAAUCUACAAAAGAAUGAUUAAUAAACAUAUAAAUGUAUAGAUUUAAUUAUGCAAGGAUUAUAUCUCCUGUUUGAAAAGUUUUGAAAGAUUGAAUGAUAACUUCCUUCAUAAGAGUUUGAGAUUCAGAUGACCAAAUGUACACUGGACCUAACCUAGCUCCAGAGUGCUCUGUUGUACUCUUGUAAGAGUCAACUUGGAUGACUUUGGAACUAGUUUAUACAGUACCUGCCUGGAACAAAUCUAUCAGAGUUGCCAAAAUUUGCUGUAUUGAGGAUCGGGAAAUGACACAAGAUGGAACGGAGAUUAAGCUUUUUACAACAAGGACUUUCUGCAGUGUGCGCCACUGUGAGACUCCAUGUGUCCCAACAACUCAAUAACUCUUGUCUCAGAUACAAGGUCACUGAGUCAUGGAUGCCUUCAUAAAUUGCUGAUAGAAAAAUGAUAGUUAAUUCUAAUUAGAUGACCACUGAUUUGACACCAGCCUUGACAUACAACCAGACUAACCUCUGGUCAUGUUUCUGGACUAGUGUGUUCUUG